GGAGAGAUGCCAGAGUGGCCGAAUGGGCCGGAUUGCUAAUCCGGUGUGCGGGGAAACCCGUACCGGGGGUUCGAAUCCCCCUCUCUCCG
rnacentral:tRNA from 1 species